CACGCCCUGUGCACCCAAUCCUCUCGUCCCUCACGAACCCUAUCCGCCUCCAUGCUCCUCCUCCCCCUCCUCUUCCAUCCUCCCGCGCCAGUCACCCCCCUCUCCCGCAUCUCGUCUACCCGGGAUCCGAGGUGUGCGGGCGCGGAGACGUGCUUCCCCGGCGGUGGCAACAACCUACAAGCAAAGGGAGACGGCGGCGACACUUGAUUCAAUAUGCAGGAGAGAGAGAGAGAGAGAGAGAAGAGUAGAAGGAUAAGAAGGGAGGAGAGGAGAGAGAAAGAGAGAGGCCUCUGGGCGGUGCUCCCGCGCCUCCUCCCCACCCAUCUCGCCGACAUCUCCUCCCCGAGCUCUGCCCUCUUUAUGCACGACGGCCGAUGCAGCUCCACACCGCCGGCGCCAUCCCCUCUCGUCCCUUUGUCUUUGGGACGUCCUGCUGUCGUCUCCACCCCAUCACAGCCUCUGGCCAUUGGGCUGGGCCCUCCCUUCGUCUGAGUUGGAUAUGGCAUCAGUUGUUACCAUGACUUCAGUUAGUGCUCAGUCCUCUUUGGUUUCAAGGCCAAGGAGCCAUGGCAUAACAAGCUAUGGUGCCUUAAAGGUGUCAUACUCAUCAAUUGGCUUUGAAUUGGGAUCCUCAUUCCUCGGCAAGACCACAUCUCUCCAGGCAUCUGUUACCACAAGGGUUGUGCCAAAGGCAAAGUCCGCGGCUCAGAUACUACCUGAGGCGUCUUACAAAGUGUCAGUUCUUGAUGCUGCGGGAGGCAUCAAACAACCAUUGGGCCUAUUAAUUAAGAUGUCUCGAGACGCGACGGUGGUCUAUGGCACCAUCACCGUCUUCCUCAGCAGAAGCAGUGCGGGCUGCAGAGAUGGCCGGCUUCAUCCUACUCUCACGUUGCUAUUCGUCCGCCCGACGAAGAAGAGAUGCAUCAACAGGAGAAGCAACAUGCACGUACACACUCUUCUCUUCUUUCUGAAAUUUUCUCGCCUCUAUUCCUAGAGCUUCUCAUCUUUGUCUCUUUGUUUGUGCAAAUUUUGUUUCUCUAUGCCUACAAGGUGUUCUUCGUCCACUUCCAUGGAUCCAACGUUUGAGUCCCAUCAGGACUUCAGAUAAUCCAUCUUACAUGGACCUACUUUCAGUAGUAGGUGGCGGCGUGACACGACUUUCUUCCGCUAGAACCGGCGACAUACGAGAUGGCAGCGGUGAGGUACAAAUUCUGGUGCCAAUUCCUGGACCUCGUCGCCAGCAUGGCCAUCAGCAUCGUCAAUGACGCCGGAUCGACCCUCUUCGCUGGCGAUGAACCAGCGACUGGUGCUCUGCAGGAACUACCAACACGGCAAGUAACCGCUACCUCUUGAGCUUGCGUUCGUUUUCCCUUGAAGAGGAAAGGGUGAUGCAGCAAAGUAGCGUAAGUAUUUCCCUCGGUUUUGAGAACCAAGGUAUCAAUCCAGUAGGAGACGACACACAAGU